rnacentral:rRNA from 1 species
AAUUUGAAAUCUGGCCCUUUCGGGGUCCGAGUUGUAAUUUGUAGAGAGUGCUUCGGGUGAGACUGCGGUCUAAGUCCAUUGGAACAUGGCGUCCCAGAGGGUGAGAAUCCCGUAUGUGACCGUGGCUCGAGCCCAUGUGAAGCCUCUUCGACGAGUCGAGUUGUUUGGGAAUGCAGCUCUAAAUGGGUGGUAAAUUUCAUCUAAAGCUAAAUACUGGCUGGAGACCGAUAGCGCACAAGUAGAGUGAUCGAAAGAUGAAAAGCACUUUGGAAAGAGGGUUAAACAGUACGUGAAAUUGUUGAAAGGGAAGCGCUGGCAACCAGACCUGCCCGUAGGCGAUCACCCGUUGUUCUCAGCGGUGCACUCGUGCUGCGAUCAGGCCAGCAUCGGUUCGGGCGGGCGGAUAAAGGUCUUGGGAAUGUAGCUCUCUUUCGGGGGAGUCUUAUAGCCCUUGAUGCAAUGCGCCCAGCCGGGACCGAGGACCGCGCUUCGGCUAGGAUGCUGGCGUAAUGGUUGUCAGCGACCC